UUUUGCCUAUGAUGACUUGCAAGUUGCGUACAUUGUCUGACAAAUAUCUUUGUGAUGUUGGUUGCAAGAUCUGAGGCUUUU